CAAAAAGUCCAUUUAGUUUUUUCCAUAAAAUAAAGGACAUGCUUUUCAUUUUCACCAAUAGCUUUAUUGAUUUGGAUAUUUUGAGUAUGUCAGCUAUCUUCUGCAUGGUAUGACAUUGAUUUUUGUCAAUUAAUGUCUCAAUUUGAUCACUAUCAACUUCAACUGGUCUACCCAACAAUGGAGCUUUGUCCAGACAGAAAUCUCCAACACAAAACUUGCAAACCACUUUUGACACAUUUGAUCAAUCACAGCACCUUCUUCAUAAACUGCACAAAACUUUUUUCAGAUGUGUUUUUACUUGUGUUUU